GCCCAAACUUAGUCCAACCAUACCCACUAAACUUCUACAAACCCAAAAACAAAACAUUUAAUUAGGAAAGUAAUGGAGAUUAAACCCCGACACCAGGCACCAUAGUACAUGUACCGUAAGGGAACACUAAAAUCACCGCAAGAAGCGAAAAAAAGCAGAGAUAAGCCCUCGUACCUUUUGCAUCAUGGUUUAGCAAGAACCAAACCAACAAGCAGGAACAAGUUGGUCACCCCGAAAUCAAGUGAGCUACUUCCGAGCAACCUAACGGGUGAACCCGUCCAUGUAGCAAAAUGGUGGGAUGACUUUGAAGUAGAGGUGAAACGCCAACCGAACUUGACGAUAGCUGGUUGUUCACAACAGAAUUUAAGUUCUACUUUGGGUAAAGGAGGAAAUAAAACCGACCCAGAGGCAGUCUCUGGGGGGACAGCCCUAGAGACACGGGAUACAGCCCCGAAUUGAGAGAAAGACACACACCAAAGAUCAGUUGGCCUUGAAGCAGCCACCAACAAUAAUAGCGUCCAAGCAUCAUAAGAAAAAAUGCCAAGAGACAAACCAAUCUCCAAUAGAAAAAUGAACAACUCUAUCAUUAUAGAGGCUACAAUGCUAAAACUACUAAUAUGAUACCCCCCUUUCAGCACACCUGCCCCUCUGAACCAGAGCUAUAACAGACAACCGGGCUGAUCAAUUGCACUUAGCCCCACCCUCCUUCCCUGUGGACCCGACUCAGGAGUGCAAAGAUAAAAUUAAAAGUCUCAAAAGGAACUCGGCAAACUAAAGUCCCAACUGUUUACCAAAAACAUAGCCUUUAGCCAAACAAGUAUUAAAGGUGACGCCUGCCCAGUGAAUAUUUCAACGGCCGCGGUACCCUAACCGUGCAAAGGUAGCGUAAUCACUUGUCCACUAAUUAUGGACUAGUAUGAAUGGCAACAUGAGGGCUAAACUGUCUCUUGAGACCGAUUUAUUAAACUGAUCUUCUAGUUCAAAAGCUAGAAUACCGCAAUAAGACGAGAAGACCCUGUGAAGCUUUAAGGACCUUGCUAACUCACUUAGCAACAACUUUUAGUUGGGGCAACUUUGGAGCAAAGCUAAACCUCCAAAAACCCUCAAAGACACACAAGUCAAGAACGACCCAGUACAGCUGAUCAAUGGACCAAGUUACUCCAGGGAUAACAGCGCAAUCCUCUUCAAGAGCCCAUAUCAAAAAGAGGGUUUACGACCUCGAUGUUGGAUCAGGACACCCAAAUGGCGCAGCCGCUGUUAAAGGUUCGUUUGUUCAACGAUUAAAGU
rnacentral:rRNA from 1 species